rnacentral:lncRNA from 1 species
GUCGUGCACCAUUUCAGAAACGGCAAGUAUAUUCUAGAUUAAUAAAGGAAGACAUGGAUCUACCGAUAUUUGCUUUUUCAAUCCUUGUUAAAGCCACUAAUAACUUUUCUAGCACAAGUAAACUUGGGGAAGGUGGAUUUGGACCAGUGUAUAAGGUAAUAUAGCCAUAUUCAAUGAAGACCUUAACCUUUUUCAAUAAAUUAUUGU